UACGGAGGGUGCAAGCGUUAUCCGGAUUCACUGGGUUUAAAGGGUGCGUAGGUGGUUUUGUAAGUCAGUGGUGAAAGCCCGGAGCUCAACUCCGGAACUGCCAUUGAUACUGCUUAACUUGAAUCAACUUGAGGUGGAUGGAAUAUUACAUGUAGCGGUGAAAUGCUUAGAUAUGUAAUAGAACACCGAUUGCGAAGGCAGUUCACUACGCAAUCAUUGACGCUGAGGCACGAAAGCGUGGGGAUCAAACAGG
rnacentral:rRNA from 1 species